UCCUGGCUCAGGAUGAACGCUGGCGGCGUGCUUAACACAUGCAAGUCGAACGAAGCACUUUGAUCGAUUUCUUCGGAUUGAAAUUUUAGUGACUGAGUGGCGGACGGGUGAGUAACGCGUGGGUAACCUGCCUCACACAGGGGGAUAACAGUUGGAAACGGCUGCUAAUACCGCAUAAGCGCACAGUACCGCAUGGUACAGUGUGAAAAACUCCGGUGGUGUGAGAUGGACCCGCGUCUGAUUAGCUAGUUGGCAGGGUAACGGCCUACCAAGGCGACGAUCAGUAGCCGACCUGAGAGGGUGACCGGCCACAUUGGGACUGAGACACGGCCCAAACUCCUACGGGAGGCAGCAGUGGGGAAUAUUGCACAAUGGGGGAAACCCUGAUGCAGCGACGCCGCGUGAGCGAAGAAGUAUUUCGGUAUGUAAAGCUCUAUCAGCAGGGAAGAAGAAAUGACGGUACCUGACUAAGAAGCACCGGCUAAAUACGUG
rnacentral:rRNA from 1 species